rnacentral:rRNA from 1 species
AGAGUUUGAUCAUGGCUCAGGAUGAACGCUGGCGGCGUGCUUAACACAUGCAAGUCGAACGGAGUAAAGCGCUGAAAGAGGCUUCGGCUGAAUUCUUGCUUUACUUAGUGGCGGACGGGUGAGUAACGCGUGAGUAACCUGCCUUUGAGUGGGGAAUAACGUUCUGAAAAGAACGCUAAUACCGCAUAACGUAUUUUUGCCGCAUGACAGAGAUACCAAAGAUUUAUCGCUCAGAGAUGGACUCGCGUCCGAUUAGCUGGUUGGCGGGGUAACGGCCCACCAAGGCGACGAUCGGUAGCCGGACUGAGAGGUUGAACGGCCACAUUGGGACUGAGACACGGCCCAGACUCCUACGGGAGGCAGCAGUGGGGGAUAUUGCGCAAUGGGGGAAACCCUGACGCAGCAACGCCGCGUGGAGGAAGACGGUUUUCGGAUUGUAAACUCCUUUUAUAAGGGACGAAUUAAGACGGUACCUUAUGAAUAAGCUCCGGCUAACUACGUGCCAGCAGCCGCGGUAAUACGUAGGGAGCAAGCGUUAUCCGGAUUUACUGGGUGUAAAGGGUGCGUAGGCGGCUUGGUAAGUCAGAUGUGAAAUCCAUGGGCUCAACCCAUGAACUGCAUUUGAAACUAUCGAGCUUGAGUGAAGUAGAGGCAGGCGGAAUUCCCUGUGUAGCGGUGAAAUGCGUAGAGAUAGGGAGGAACACCAGUGGCGAAGGCGGCCUGCUGGGCUUUAACUGACGCUGAGGCACGAAAGCGUGGGUAGCAAACAGGAUUAGAUACCCUGGUAGUCCACGCUGUAAACGAUGAUUACUAGGUGUGGGUGGACUGACCCCAUCCGUGCCGCAGUUAACACAAUAAGUAAUCCACCUGGGCAGUACGGCCGCAAGGUUGAAACUCAAAGGAAUUGACGGGGGCCCGCACAAGCAGUGGAGUAUGUGGUUUAAUUCGAAGCAACGCGGAGAACCUUACCAGGUCUUGACAUCUGACUGACGCAUCCUUAACCGGAUGGUUCGUACGGGACAGUCAAGACAGGUGGUGCAUGGUCGUCGUCAGCUCGUGUCGUGAGAUGUUGGGUUAAGUCCCGCAACGAGCGCAACCCUUAUUCUUAGUAGCCAGCGGUCCGCCCGGGCACUCUAAGGAGACUGCCAGGGACAACCUGGAGGAAGGUGGGGAUGACGUCAAAUCAUCAUGCCCCUUAUGAUCUGGGCUACACACGUGCUACAAUGGUGGAAACAAAGGGAAGCGGCCCCGCGAGGGUGAGCAAAUCUCAAAAAUACCGUCCCAGUUCGGACUGUAGUCUGCAACCCGACUACACGAAGUUGGAAUCGCUAGUAAUCGCGAAUCAGCAUGUCGCGGUGAAUACGUUCCCGGGUCUUGUACACACCGCCCGUCACACCAUGGGAGUUGGUAAUGCCCGAAGCCUGUGAGCUAACAGCAAUGAGGCAGCAGUCGGAGGCAGGACCGAUAACUGGGGUGAAGUCGUAACAAGGUAGC